GCAAAGGGCACUCCACUUCUGAAAGUAGAAGCAGUCGGUGACGGCUGGUCAGGGGAGAAGAAAACAACCGCCCGCAAGGGUAAGGGUGAGAAGGUGGUGCAAGAGACCACCAGCCGACGGGUGAUCGUCGGGCUGUUCCCGCUGGAGGCUGCAAGUUCAUGUAUACCAUCGUCAUGUUAGGGUUGCCCGCCCGAGUUUCUUUCUGGGGAUGCGAUGGAGGGUAGAACGCUUGAGACACAUCGCGAGGUGUGUAGUAGAUAAAUGGCAGGCACCGCCGUCAGGCGGAACAGAACCCGGCUUAUAGGGGCAGUGCUUUC
rnacentral:RNase_P_RNA from 1 species